CCGAAAUCCAAUCAUGGCAUCAAAAGAUGUACAAGUAUUUUUCUGUGUUUCUUUUUAAUGCCAUAGGAAUAUUAUAGUUCUCUUCAGUUAAUUUUGUCUUUCUUAUCUAAUCGCAAAAGAGAAAACAUAUUUAUGGGAUCAGUGUGUUGAUGGAGCAGUCGAGUGGUAGUCACGGAUCCAGGGAAGAUGUGAACCCGGGAGAAUCAUGCAGUUAAUGGUAAGAAAAUAAAAGCGAUUUUUGGAACGACUCAAUGAAAACAUGAUGAAUACCUAUGAAGAUUGCAAGGGACAAGCUCUGAGAAUCCAAAUCGAGAUCAUCAAGUUGUUCCCAAGUCUAUUUGUCCAGCGUUCAGAAUGCAUGUUGGUGUAUUCGUUCAGGAUGCAGUUUCAUUAGUAAAUAGAUUGAAGAUUUUUUCAUUUUCAUCAGAGAACAAGUUUGCCGGCGGGUCCGAUGUAGUAUCUGUAAUAUCUAGAUAGUCCGAUAAGGUUUGGGUAGGGAACACCCCAUGCUCUGAUUUCCCCUGGUAAAACGUGCUUUGUUGUCUCUGGAAGCUGCAGCCAAUGUUAAUUCUUUGGAGACUAAACUAAAUAAAUGCAUCAUCUAACAUCUAUCUGCUUAAAUGGUCUAAGAAGAAGGGAAGACGUCGCUGAGAAAGGACAAAAGAGAAGUUCAUCCGGUUCUAAAUUACGGUGAAAAGGGAGAAGGAAAAUAAAGGAGGUAGUUGAUGCUGUCAAAGGGAAGUAGUGGAUAUGCUUCUGAAGGAUAAGCCUAAAGCAACAACAGAGUUUGCAUAGUGAACCAAAAAAAAUCAGUCUUAAGCUAGAUAGAGGAUUGAAAAUUAGUGAGCAUGGUUGAUGCAACCAAUAUUAAGAUUAAUGGUUGAUAAGCAUGGUUAAUGCAAGCAAUAUAAACUUUAAUUGUUUGCAUAUAACGUACAUGUUUUCUAUAAAUCAUGUAUUUUAAAGUUAGAUCAAAUUUUCUU